UACGGAGGGUGCAAGCGUUAAUCGGAAUUACUGGGCGUAAAGGGCGCGUAGGUUGUUAAGUAAGUUGGCUGUGAAAGCCCCGGGCUCAACCUGGGAUGGUCAGUCAAAACUGCUUGACUAGAGUGUAGUAGAGGGUAGUGGAAUUUCAGGUGUAGCGGUGAAAUGCGUAGAGAUCUGAAGGAACACCAGUGGCGAAGGCGGCUACCUGGACUAACACUGACACUGAGGCGCGAAAGCAUGGGUAGCGAAC
rnacentral:rRNA from 1 species